GAGACUUCCACAGCACAUAUAUUAAAUUGGAAUGAUACAGACAAGACUAGCAUGGCCCUGUGUAAGGAGUGGAUUUUUUUUAAGGAGAAUGGGGAAGUUUGU